rnacentral:rRNA from 1 species
UGCGCCCUACGGGGGGCAGCAGUGGGGAAUCUUCCACAAUGGACGAAAGUCUGAUGGAGCAACGCCGCGUGAGUGAAGAAGGGUUUCGGCUCGUAAAACUCUGUUGGUAGGGAAGAAAGAUAGAGGGAGUAACUGGCCUUUAUUUGACGGUAAUUUCUUAGAAAGUCACGGCUAAAUACGUGCCAGCAGCCGCGGUAAUACGUAGGUGGCAAGCGUUGUCCGGAUUUAUUGGGGGGAAAG